UCGAACGGUAGCAGGCCUUCGGGCGCUGACGAGUGGCGGACGGGUGAGUAACGCGUAGGAAUCUGCCUGGUAGUGGGGGACAACGUGGGGAAACUCACGCUAAUACCGCAUACGCCCUACGGGGGAAAGCGGGGGCUCUUCGGACCUCGCGCUAUCAGAUGAGCCUGCGUUAGAUUAGCUAGUUGGUAGGGUAAAGGCCUACCAAGGCGACGAUCUAUAGCUGGUCUGAGAGGACGAUCAGCCACACUGGGACUGAGACACGGCCCAGACUCCUACGGGAGGCAGCAGUGGGGAAUAUUGGACAAUGGGCGCAAGCCUGAUCCAGCAAUACCGCGUGUGUGAAGAAGGCCUUAGGGUUGUAAAGCACUUUCAAUGGGGAGGAAAACCUGCCGGUCAAUACCCGGUAGCUUGACAUUACCUUUAGAAGAAGCACCGGCUAACUCCGUGCCAGCAGCCGCGGUAAUACGGAGGGUGCGAGCGUUAAUCGGAAUUACUGGGCGUAAAGCGUGCGUAGGCGGUUCGUUAAGUCAGAUGUGAAAGCCCCGGGCUUAACCUGGGAACUGCAUUUGAAACUGGCGGACUAGAGUUGAGUAGAGGGGAGUGGAAUUUCAGGUGUAGCGGUGAAAUGCGUAGAUAUCUGAAGGAACACCAGUGGCGAAGGCGACUCCCUGGACUCAAACUGACGCUGAGGUACGAAAGCGUGGGUAGC
rnacentral:rRNA from 1 species